rnacentral:rRNA from 1 species
CCUACGGGAGGCAGCAGUGAGGAAUAUUGGUCAAUGGCCGCAAGCCUGAACCAGCCAAGCCGCGUGAAGGACGACGGUGCUAAGCGUUGUAAACUUCUUUUGUCAAGGGACAAAAUCAGGCUCGUGCGCCUGACCGAGGGUACUUGAAGAAAAAGGAUCGGCUAACUCCGUGCCAGCAGCCGCGGUAAUACGGAGGAUGCGAGCGUUAUCCGGAUUUAUUGGGGUUAAAGGGUGCGUAGGCGGGAUGUUAAGUCAGCCGUAAAAGCCCGGGGCUCAACCGCGGGAGGGCCGUUGAAACUGGCUGUCUUGAGAAGUGGAGAGGUAGGCGGAAUGCGUGGUGUAGCGGUGAAAUGCUUAGAUAUUGCGCAGAACUCCGAUUGCGAAGGCAGCAUACUGGCGGGGAUCUGACGCUGAGGCACGAAAGCGUGGGUAUCGAACAGGAUUAGAUACCCGAGUAGUC